rnacentral:tRNA from 1 species
AAAGUGCUAGUAAAAAUAUUACUCUGCCUUGUCAAGGCAAAAUUGUAGGUUAAACCCCUGCGCACUUUA